CACGUAGGGUGCGAGCGUUUGUCCGGAAUUAUUGGGCGUAAAGAGCUCGUAGGCGGUGUGUCGCGUCGGCCGUGAAAACCUGCAGCUUAACUGUGGGCUUGCGGUCGAUACGGGCAUCACUGGAGUUCGGCAGGGGAGACUGGAAUUCCUGGUGUAGCGGUGAAAUGCGCAGAUAUCAGGAGGGAACACCGGUGGCGAAGGCGGGUCUCUGGGCCGAUACUGACGCUGGAGGAGCG
rnacentral:rRNA from 1 species